rnacentral:rRNA from 1 species
UACAGAGGUGGCGAGCGUUGUUCGGAUUUACUGGGCGUAAAGGGCGCGUAGGCCGCGAUGUGUGUCGGGUGUGAAAUCCCAGGGCUCAACCCUGGAAGUGCGCCCGAAACUGCAUCGCUCGAGUGCGGGAGGGGAGAUCGGAAUACAUGGUGUAGCGGUGAAAUGCGUUGAUAUCAUGUAGAACACCGGUGGCGAAGGCGGAUCUCUGGAACGCAACUGACGCGGAGGCGCGAAAGUCGGGGGAGCAAACAGG